UGGUCCUACGGGACGCAGCAGUCGGGAAUAUUGCGCAAUGGAGGAAACUCUGACGCAGUGACGCCGCGUAUAGGAAGAAGGUUUUCGGAUUGUAAACUAUUGUCGUUAGGGAAGAAAAAAAGACAGUACCUAAGGAGGAAGCUCCGGCUAACUACGUGCCAGCAGCCGCGGUAAUACGUAGGGAGCGAGCGUUAUCCGGAUUUAUUGGGUUUAAAGGGUGCGCAGGCGGUCUGUUAAGUCAGCGGUCAAAGCCCGGGGCUCAACCCCGGCCCGCCGUUGAAACUGGCAGUCUCGAGUUGGAGAGA
rnacentral:rRNA from 1 species